rnacentral:rRNA from 1 species
AUGGCCUGCCGGGGAGCAAACUCCGAUGAAGGCGCUGCCAAAGCGCAUUUCGUGUUCGUUCCGCUGAUGCACCACGGCCACCUGAUCCCGGCGGUGGACGCCGCGCUGCAGCUGGCCGCCCACGGCGCGCUCGCUAGCAUCGUCGUCACGCCGUCGUACACCGCGCGCCUCCGCCCCGCGGUCGAGUCGUCGGGCCUGCCGGUGCGGCUCGUGGAGCUCCCGCUCGACCUCGCCAGCACAGACGACGUCGACCGGAUCCCCCCGGACCAGGAGGCCGCCUACCUCCUCGCCGCGUCGCGCCUCCGGGCCCCGCUGGAGCACCACCUCCGCGCGCACGCGCCGCCUGUGACGUGCGUCGUGUCGGACAUAUGCCACCCGUGGACCACCGGCCUCGCCGCCAGCCUCGGUGUCCCGCGGCUCAGCUUCCUCGGCAUGUCCGCCUGCUGCCUCCUCUGCCUGCAGACGGAGCACCAUGCCGCGGCCAUUCGCAACGCCUAUGCCGCCAUUGACCCCUACUGGCACCUCAUCCCCGAGGAGCCGGUUGAGGUGAAAAUGCCCACCGCGGCCCCUGGGUUCCUGCGGCUACCGGCGUGCAAGAAGCUGGCAUACGAGAAGCUGGCAUACGCUGUCGAGCGGGCAUGUGUCGAGGUCGAUGGUGUCAUCCUCAACACCUUUUUGGAGCUAGAGCCGGAGACGGUCAUGAGCUGCAUGGAGGUCAGGAACGUCAACGUGUGGGCCGUCGGUCCGGUGUCGUUGUUCCACUAUCACCAGAACGCGGCGGCGCUGGCGGCAAGAGGGAACGCGCCCACCAUCGACGCCGACGAGUACCUCCGGUGGCUCGACGACAAGGAGUCGUCCUCCGUCAUCUACGUCAGCUUCGGGAGCAGCGCCGUGCACGCGGCUCCAAAGCAGGUCAUGGAGAUCGGCCUUGGCCUCGAGGCGUCAGAGCACCCGUUCAUCUGGGUGGUAUCAUCGGAGAAUGCCGGACAGGACCAGGAGAUCCGCAGGUUCCUUGAGGAACUGGAGGCCCGGGUCAGCGGUCGCGGCCUGCUGAUCAGGGGCUGGUCACCGCAGCAGCUGAUAUUGUCCCACGCGUCAGUGGGCGGCAUCGUGACGCACUGCGGGUGGAACUCGAUGAUGGAGGCGGUUGCGGCCGGGCUUCCAAUGGUGACAUGGCCGCACCUGGCGCUCCAGUUCGUGAACGAGGCCUUGGCCGUGCGCUCGAUGGAGACCGGCGUGAGCAUCGGGGUCGAGUGGUCGAAGGAGGAGGGGGUGGAGGUGGCGGUGGUGGAGCGAGGGGUGGUGGAGGAGGCGGUGAGGAGCAUCAUGGGCGGAGGAGACGAGGCGGCGGAGAGGCGGAGGAGGGCGACGGCGCUCGCGACGAAGGUGCGAGAGGUCAGCCAGGAGGGCGGAUCUUCUUUCAUAAACCUGCGUCGUUUGGUCAAGCGCUACCAAGCAGUGACGUCCCAUGAUGCAUGA